UUGCUGAUCAUAUUUGCUGUUUACAGUUUAUCUUUAUCUAUAAUAAUAUUCAAGAUAAUGACCAAAAACUGCAAAAUUUCCUUAAAAUUACCAAUUAAGUGGCAGCAACCAACAAUUGGAUGUUUGAUUCAUCUGAAAAUUUCAGGGCUGAUAGAUAUUGACCUAAUGAACAUUUUUACUCCAUGUCAGAUUUGCUCUUAAUGCUUUCGUUUUUGAGAUAUAAGCCAAAAACUGCAU
rnacentral:lncRNA from 1 species